UACGUAGGGGGCUAGCGUUGUCCGGAAUCAUUGGGCGUAAAGAGCGUGUAGGCGGUCCGGUAAGUCCGCUGUGAAAGUCGGGGGCUCAACCCUCGAAUGCCGGUGGAUACUGUCGGGCUAGAGUGCGGAAGAGGCGAGUGGAAUUCCUGGUGUAGCGGUGAAAUGCGCAGAUAUCAGGAGGAACACCUAUUGCGAAGGCAGCUCGCUGGGACGUUACUGACGCUGGAGACGCGAAAGCGUGGGGAGCGAACAGG
rnacentral:rRNA from 1 species